GGUAAUAGCUCAGUGGUAGAGCAUGUGCUUGGCAUGCACAAGAUCCUGGGUUCAAUCCCCAGUACUGCCA
rfam:Camelus ferus unplaced genomic scaffold scaffold1056, whole genome shotgun sequence.